rnacentral:rRNA from 1 species
GACGAACGCUGGCGGCGUGCUUAACACAUGCAAGUCGAACGGAAAGGCCCUGCUUUUGUGGGGUGCUCGAGUGGCGAACGGGUGAGUAACACGUGAGUAACCUGCCCUUGCCUUUGGGAUAACUUCAGUAAACUGGGGCUAAUACCGGAUAGGAGCUCCUGCUGCAUGGUGGGGGUUGGAAAGUUUCGGCGGUUGGGGAUGGACUCGCGGCUUAUCAGCUUGUUGGUGGGGUAGUGGCUUACCAAGGCUUUGACGGGUAGCCGGCCUGAGAGGGUGACCGGCCACAUUGGGACUGAGAUACGGCCCAGACUCCUACGGGAGGCAGCAGUGGGGAAUAUUGCACAAUGGGCGGAAGCCUGAUGCAGCAACGCCGCGUGCGGGAUGACGGCCUUCGGGUUGUAAACCGCUUUCGCCUGUGACGAAGCGUGAGUGACGGUAAUGGGUAAAGAAGCACCGGCUAACUACGUG